CAACUGCGUGACAUGAGCAGAGCCAGGCUCCGGCUGGCCGCCUUAGUGCCUGCCCAGAGAAUAUAAGGGGGGCAUUGUGGCAGGCCUCGGCCUCCUCCAUACCAGCAAACAGAAAAGAAAAAAAAACAGCCAGCUGCAGAAGCACCUUGGAGAGGGCAGUGGGAGGGCGCUUCCAAAGCAAGAGGUGAACAUGCCUGGAGAACACGGGAGCAGCAGACUCUGAAGAAGCUGAGAGGAAGUGAGCCCCUACGACCCAGAGAAAAGACCACAGAUUGUGACUGAGCUGUUCUGCUAAGGCCAGUCCCCACGCUCGAAGCAGACUGGGACCCACUAGCACCCUGUUGUCAGCUGCCCCCUGGAGACAGGACUGCCAGCCAGCAGUUCACCCCAACAGAAGCCGAUGCCCAUGGAUCCCAGGGUCUGGCCCAAACGACAAAAGCUUGGCUAACUUGCUGUGCUAUCCAGAGGGGCUGAUAUGUGUGUUUACUGUAGCCUAAUAUAAUAUUGUACUUUCUGUCUUGAUCAAGAGCACAGUGAUAGGAGAUGGUGGAACUAUGGGAUCCGAGACCAGCAACCUCCUAUUUAAAUGUACAUGUGCAACAAAUGGAAAUUGACAUUUGUUGUGGUUAUUUGAGAGGAGAAAUUUAAGGGCUCUGUGACACCCUGGUCUAAGGAAACAACUUUGAUAAAGACAGCUCCUGUACUUAUUUAAUUUAAGCCCUGCCCAUAUUUUAAAAAUAAAUCACUGUAUGUCUUUAACAUGCACUGCAUUUUAAACAGAAACAUGUUUGGGCCACAUUUGAAAUUCUAGAAUUAAAAUGAAUCAGGAUUAACUACAGAAUAUUAUGUGACUGAUCGCAAUUAUGUUAAUCGUUUACCGCAGCUAGAUAUAAUAAACAAAUUACAUACUUUAUAUGUAAUUGCUUCAUUAGAUUGCAUAUUAACUAAAUAACUAAAUUGCUAACUGCAAUUUCGGUGUAAAGCCUUUUUAUUCUUAGAAUUGCAAAGUAGGGUAUUUUAUAUAGAUGUGGAUUGAUUAUUAGUGAGCUAAAUUAGUGAGCAAUUAGUGAGCAAAACUGGGAGGUAAACAUAGGAAGUACCAGGGCAGUUGUAAAGAAGUUGUAAAGAUAAAUGGUCAACAGGGUCUUUGAGGUAAACUACGCCACCAGUCUUAAUUUGAAGUGCUUUCAAGUUACUUCCCCAAUGCAGACAUCCCAACCUGCAAAAAGUCAUUUCAGGGAGGUAUCCCGAAGUUUUCCAUUGAAGUUGUCCCUGCAGUAGCUUAAAAAAAAUAGGUGGUUUGUGUUAAAAUGGUGCUAGAAUAGUGGAGGCAUGUCUUUGCUUUCUUUCCACGUUGCGGUUUUGUGAUUACUCAGUGGUCUGAAGGAAUUUAUUUAACCUUUAUGUACAUGACUGUUGUAAUAUGGAUUUAUUUCCCGGCAUGGCUUCUUUAGUGAUUUUACCCAUGCACUGCCACUGGAUUUUACAACUACGUGCCUUCUUUACGAGAGUCUUCUGACCACCCUUUCUUGAGCGGAAAUCGGUGGGAGAGGAGCGUAUGGAAAGUAAAUGAGCAGGACUACUGAGAAACGCAGCUACAGUCGUCUCAACUACAGAGGUUAUGAGGAUGCGUCCUGAAUGCAAAGUACCAUCUAAUUAAUUUAUACUGUUUAAUACUGUUUAAACUUUUGAGAUAACCAAGUUUUUAAGGGACAUUAAAUCAUUGUGUAUGGAUUGAUGAGACCUAAUGAG
ensembl:lncRNA